UAAUAUUAUAAAGUAUAAAAAUAUGAAUAAUAAAAAGAGAUCCAGAAAGUUGGUGGAAGCCGCAAUUAAAAUGAACAAAAAUCAACAAAAUACAACAGCUGUAGCAAGACAGCUAUUUUUGCCAGUUGAAAAUUAUGAUAACACAUACCAUCAUUACAGUAAG